rnacentral:rRNA from 1 species
AUUUAAGUCUGGAAUGAAAGGAUUUAUGAGGAUUUACUGUCUUAAAUAUAAACUAUUGAAUUUAUUAAAAAAGUGAAAAUACUUUUAUUUUUAAAAAAGACGAGAAGACCCUAAGAAUUUUGAGAAUAUAUUAUAUUUUAAUUAUUUCUUUUUGUUGGGGCGACAAUUAAACAAUAAAACUUUAAUUAUUUCUUUAAUCGGUUUUUUCAGUGCAAAAUAAAUUACCUUAGGGAUAACAGCAUAAUUUUCAAAA